GACGAACGCUGGCGGCGUGCCUAAUACAUGCAAGUUGAGCGCUGAAGGUUGGUACUUGUACCAACUGGAUGAGCAGCGAACGGGUGAGUAACGCGUGGGGAAUCUGCCUUUGAGCGGGGGACAACAUUUGGAAACGAAUGCUAAUACCGCAUAAAAACUUUAAACACAAGUUUUAAGUUUGAAAGAUGCAAUUGCAUCACUCAAAGAUGAUCCCGCGUUGUAUUAGCUAGUUGGUGAGGUAAAGGCUCACCAAGGCGAUGAUACAUAGCCGACCUGAGAGGGUGAUCGGCCACAUUGGGACUGAGACACGGCCCAAACUCCUACGGGAGGCAGCAGUAGGGAAUCUUCGGCAAUGGACGAAAGUCUGACCGAGCAACGCCGCGUGAGUGAAGAAGGUUUUCGGAUCGUAAAACUCUGUUGGUGGAGAAGAACGUUGGUGAGAGUGGAAAGCUCAUCAAGUGACGGUAACUACCCAGAAAGGGACGGCUAACUACGU
rnacentral:rRNA from 1 species